rnacentral:rRNA from 1 species
AAAUUGAAGAGUUUGAUCAUGGCUCAGAUUGAACGCUGGCGGCAGGCCUAACACAUGCAAGUCGAGCGGAAACGAGUUAUCUGAACCUUCGGGGAACGAUAACGGCGUCGAGCGGCGGACGGGUGAGUAAUGCCUAGGAAAUUGCCCUGAUGUGGGGGAUAACCAUUGGAAACGAUGGCUAAUACCGCAUGAU